AACGAACGCUGGCGGCAGGCUUAACACAUGCAAGUCGAACGCCCCGCAAGGGGAGUGGCAGACGGGUGAGUAACGCGUGGGAAUCUACCUAGUUCUACGGAACAACUGAGGGAAACUUCAGCUAAUACCGUAUACGCCCUACGGGGGAAAGAUUUAUCGGAAUUAGAUGAGCCCGCGUAAGAUUAGCUAGUUGGUGGGGUAAUGGCCUACCAAGGCGACGAUCUUUAGCUGGUCUGAGAGGAUGAUCAGCCACACUGGGACUGAGACACGGCCCAGACUCCUACGGGAGGCAGCAGUGGGGAAUAUUGGACAAUGGGCGCAAGCCUGAUCCAGCCAUGCCGCGUGAGUGAUGAAGGCCUUAGGGUUGUAAAGCUCUUUCCGUGGGGAAGAUAAUGACGGUACCCACAGAAGAAGCCCCGGCUAACUUCGUGCCAGCCGCCGCCGUAAUAC
rnacentral:rRNA from 1 species